rnacentral:rRNA from 1 species
AGUGAACGCUGGCGGUAGGCCUAACACAUGCAAGUCGAACGGCAGCACAGUAAGAGCUUGCUCUUACGGGUGGCGAGUGGCGGACGGGUGAGGAAUACAUCGGAAUCUACUUUUUCGUGGGGGAUAACGUAGGGAAACUUACGCUAAUACCGCAUACGACCUACGGGUGAAAGCAGGGGAUCUUCGGACCUUGCGCGAUUGAAUGAGCCGAUGUCGGAUUAGCUAGUUGGCGGGGGAAAGGCCCACCAAGGCGACGAUCCGUAGCUGGUCUGAGAGGAUGAUCAGCCACACUGGAACUGAGACACGUUCCAGACUCCUACGGGAGGCAGCAGUGGGGAAUAUUGGACAAUGGGCGCAAGCCUGAUCCAGCCAUACCGCGUGGGUGAAGAAGGCCUUCGGGUUGUAAAGCCCUUUUGUUGGGAAAGAAAAGCAGCAGGUUAAUACCCCGCUGUUCUGACGGUACCCAAAGAAUAAGCACCGGCUAACUUCGUG